AAGUCACACACCACAAAUGAUCCUAGAGUCAAGUACAAGUUGGAUGUUGAAGUAUACGAUGGUGACGAUACAGCCAAGUUUGUUUUUUGGGACAAUACUCUUGAUGAGAUGGUUGGCCUAACUGCAAAGACUCUACUUGAACAAGAAAAGAAGAAUGGUUACGGUGACCAGCAGGAA